GAGGUAAAGACCUAGAGGUGAGGUCUCUGAGCAAGGGAGUCCCAUCCCAUCCUCUGCCCUCUGUUGGCUGUUGUCCUCUCAUCUUCAUCAGGAGAAUUAAAAUCAUAGAAUGUUGUACUGACGACACAAGAUCUCAGACUUGUGUGAUUCUAGCAGCUGAACACACCCCAGGCUCUUCUGACUGGCAGUGGCUCUGGAAGCAGUCUGGUCUAUAGAGUUAUGGAUUCACUACCAGAUUCUACUGUAUGCUCUGACAACUAUGACCACAAUGGCAGCAAGAUUAAGAAAAUUGUGCAUUCAAUUAUAUCAUCCUUUGCAUUUGGACUAUUUGGAGUUUUCCUGGUCUUACUGGAUGUCACUCUCGUCCUUGCCGACCUAAUUUUCACUGACAGCAAACUUUAUAUUCCUUCGGAGUAUCGUUCUAUUUCUCUAGCUAUUGCCUUAUUUUUUCUCAUGGAUGUUCUUCUUCGAGUAUUUGUAGAAGGGAAACUGAACUGAACUGAAGUCCAGGUCUUCUGUAAUAGAGUGUCUCUCCUUCAACAGGGAACAACACUACAGUCGCCCGUAGUUUUGUUUCUGUUCAGUCUCCAUUGUGGCAUGCCACACUCUCCUGGUUUGGGCCCUGCUCAUUUCUUUACUGCCUUCCUGCCUGCCCUUUUUGUGCAGGUGGAUUCUUGCUCUGUCACCCAGGCUGGAGCGUAAUGGCACAAUCUUCGCUCACUUCAACCUCUGCCUUCUGGGUUCGAGCAAUUCUCCUGCCUCAGCCUCCUGAGUAACUGGGAUUACAGGGCAUGGUGGCACACACCUGUAAUCCCAGCUACUCGGGAGGCCGAGGCAGGAGCAUUGCUUGUACCCAGGAGGCAGAGAUUGCAGUGAGCUGAGAUCACGCCAUUGCACUCCAGUCUGAGCAACAAGAGCAAAACUUCGUCUCAAAAAAAUAAAAAAUUAAAAAAUAACAAAAAAUGAGACAG
rnacentral:lncRNA from 10 species